CAGGUGAUGUAGAUUUCAGCACUGAAGAUGUUGAUCAGGAUACAGAUACUAUCAGUCAUGAAUCAGAGAUAGUCUUAUGGCUGCCUGUCUUCUGUGUGCUUCUGCUACUGUUACUGGUGUCAAGUGUCUAUGUGUGCUGGAGAGGAACAGUACUGUGGAAAGGUUGUGGAAGAACUAAUAACCUGAACCAGGACUGGAUUCAAUAGUGUUCAGGGUAAAAUGGAACAAGAUGAUUGGACACUGGCUGACGUUUUUUAUACACUGAUACCUUAAUUGAUUAUUUCAAAAUUCUUUUAUUCACUUAUCUUCAUCUUAUUUAAUACAAUGUGUCUCUUUGGUAAUCAGAGUAGUUUUAUAACCCCUUUUUUCAGAUGUGCUUCAAUGUGCAGAUGCAGAUGUGCAGAUUGCUAUGAAUUGUAUGUUUAACACUUAACUGUUUAUGUCAAUGCUUUAUGAUAUUUUCUGCCACUUUAAAUGUCUAACUUAUGCACAUGAAUAAUGACAAUACUUGCAAUGGCCUAUACUCUUGUAUUUUAUUGUGACUAUAUGGUAUCAAAAAGCUCCUCUCUCACAGCAGCCUUUUAACAAUGUUUCCUGUCUGUGAUUGUUGACUAAAUGUAGCUCUUGUGCCAGCAAUUAAAAAAGCAAGUCGUCUCACGCACAUUGAACAGAGACACUCUAUUUAGAGAAAUACUUCUAAUAAAGUG